rnacentral:rRNA from 1 species
UACGUAGGGGGCAAGCGUUGUCCGGAAUGACUGGGCGUAAAGGGAGUGUAGGCGGCCUUUUAAGUUAUAUGUGAAAGCCCCCGGCUCGACCGCGGAACUGCAUUUGAAACUGUCAGUCUUGAGUACCGGAGAGGUCAUCGGAAUUCCUUGUGUAGCGGUGAAAUGCGUAGAUAUAAGGAAGAACACCAGUGGCGAAGGCGGAUGACUGGACGGCAACUGACGGUGAGGCGCGAGAGCGUGGGGAGCAAACAGG